rnacentral:snRNA from 1 species
ACUCAUACCUGACGGGAGAUACCAUGAUCAUAAAAGUGGGUAAGGCUCAUCCAUUGCACUUCGGGUGUACUGAUCCCUGUGAUUUCCCCAAAUGUGGGAAAAUCAACUGUCUACUUUAUGGUAGUAAGGUAAAGGUAAAGGUUCCCCUUG